rnacentral:lncRNA from 1 species
CAAACACCCCCCACACAGAGAUGAUUUUGUAAGUUAUUAUAACAGAUUCCACCAAUUUUAGCCUUAGGAGACUGAACAUUAUCAUCUAUGAAACAACACAUAUCCACUUAAGGUUCUUUGUCAAAGUUCAAAUCUUUUGUAACAAAAAAUAUUCAAACCCUAGUAAAGGUGAUCCAAUCUGUUACCCACUUCAGGUUCCAUGUCAAAGUUAAAAUCUUUUGUAACAAAAAACAUUCAAACCCUAGUAAAGGCUAUAAGUUACAACAGAUUCCACCAAUUUGAUCGUUGGGGGUAAUCAAUAUCUCAUCUAUUGAAAAACACAUGUUCAUGUGUUACCCACUUCAGGUUUUUCUGCCAAAGUUCAAAUCUUUAUAACCAAAAACAAACAUUUUCAAACCCUAAUCAAGAGGAUCCAAUCUACCCAUCAAAGAUUCAAAAUUUCAGUUGGUUUUUGGUCCUGUCAUGUUCUAAGAUGAUCACAAUUCACAAGUAUAGCAUAACUCUGUAACAAAUAUUCACAUAAAAUACAACAUUACACAAUCAAUAACCCAUGAGAUUGAAAGGGUUGGGGAGCAUUAUUACCUGAGCCAUGAGAGGGAGGAUUAAUGAGUUACAGAAACAAGAGAUGUUAGGGUUUCUUUUUCUUCUCAGAUAGCAGAUAUGAUGGUGGUGGUGGGGUGAUGAUUAAGAGAUAAGGAUAAUGUAGAGAAUCAAUCAAAACGAGGGCUUGAAGGGAAGAAGAGAAAGACAAGAAAUGGAAUACAAUAAGAUGAUGGAUGCAAUCAGAAGAGAGGUAAAGAGAUUAGAACGAAGGGAAUUGGGGAAAUUUUGAUGGAAAUGAAAAUGUCAAGAAGAAGAGUAUGGGAAGAGAGGGCCAAUAAUGAAGACAAUGGAGAAGAAAUUCCUGAAUGAAAGAUGUUUAUUUGGAAGGAAGGAAAAUGGUGGAGUGCCCAGUAUCCAGCCACCUCCUUCACCUCCUCAAUUCCAUGUGAAAAAAAG